rnacentral:rRNA from 2 species
GAGAGCUUGCUCUCAUGAAAGUGGCGCACGGGUGAGUAACACGUGGAUAAUCUGCCUGGCGAUUCGGGAUAACACUUCGAAAGGGGUGCUAAUACCGGAUAAGCCCACGGACUCUUCGGAGUUUGCGGGAAAAGGGGGCCUCUGUAUAUGCUCCUGUCGCUAGAUGAGUCCGCGGCCCAUUAGCUAGUUGGUAGGGUAAUGGCCUACCAAGGCUACGAUGGGUAGCUGGUCUGAGAGGAUGAUCAGCCACACUGGAACUGARACACGGUCCAGACUCCUACGGGAGGCAGCAGUGGGGAAUUUUGCGCAAUGGGCGAAAGCCUGACGCAGCAACGCCGCGUGAGUGAUGAAGGCCUUCGGGUCGUAAAGCUCUGUCAGCGGGGAAGAACCGCCGGGUGGUUAAUACCUGCCUGGUCUGACGGUACCCACAAAGGAAGCACCGGCUAACUCCGUGCCAGCAGCCGCGGUAAUAC